UAUGGUUUGCAUUUAGGUUCCCGAAAGGAUUUGUGAAAAGUCACAAAAAUGCCUUGUAACCGAUUAUUAAAAGGGGGAAUAAGUUAUU
rnacentral:sRNA from 2 species